AGUGAACGCUGGCGGUAGGCCUAACACAUGCAAGUCGAACGGCAGCACAGUAAGAGCUUGCUCUUACGGGUGGCGAGUGGCGGACGGGUGAGGAAUACAUCGGGAUCUACUUUUUCGUGGGGGAUAACGUAGGGAAACAUACGCUAAUACCGCAUACGACCUACGGGUGAAAGCAGGGGAUCUUCGGACCUUGCGCGAUUGAAUGAGCCGAUGUCGGAUUAGCUAGUUGGCGGGGUAAAGGCCCACCAAGGCGACGAUCCGUAGCUGGUCUGAGAGGAUGAUCAGCCACACUGGAACUGAGACACGGUCCAGACUCCUACGGGAGGCAGCAGUGGGGAAUAUUGGACAAUGGGCGCAAGCCUGAUCCAGCCAUACCGCGUGAGUGAAGAAGGCCUUCGGGUUGUAAAGCCCUUUUGUUGGGAAAGAAAAGCAGCAGGUUAAUACCCCGCUGUUCUGACGGUACCCAAAGAAUAAGCACCGGCUAACUUCGUG
rnacentral:rRNA from 1 species